CGUGAAGCUGGAUUUCCCCAGGAGCUCCCUCCAAGCUUCUGGGAUGAUGAUAAGACUCGGGAUGAACCAAGGAUCUGGAACCAUGGGACAAUGUGAAGUCUAGACCCAGUGGAGGAAGAGAAAGGCUAUGGGAAGGGCAGGCUUCACGUUACUGAGCAUCCGCUACCUGCCACACACUUUCACGUGGACUUAUUCUGUGUGUUUCUCACAGCACCCUUGAGAAAUAGAGACUACGAUCACAUCUUUUACAUAAAAGAAAACCACCAUCCAGGGAGGCGAAGUCCCUUGCUCACAGACUGUCAUGUGGGAAGCUCUCUGGAUGCAAUGAUGUCCUCCAGUUGCAGUACCAGGCAAGCUGUCCCAGAGUUCAUGGAGCGGAAAGGCUCGAGAAGCAACUGAGGAUGCUCAAAUCACAGUCAACCUCACCCACUCAGGUGUGACCACGAGGACCAGAGCCGAGGUCUGGGCAAGAGUGCUCACAGCUUAAGGGCUUAUGACACACACCGGCUCAACGGGACAGACAUGGGACAAGUGUGCCUGAUCAUGGUGGCGUUGCCAAGAAGCAGCUGUCGCACUGCCAUGGGUUCUACGUGUUUCUUGGGCAGAGGACGCAUGGGACCAGAAUGGGCACCAGGAAUGGUGGUGAACAAAGGCCCCAUGGUUCUGCAUGUUUAGGUGUCUCUUGUAUAAAGGCACAUUGUGAAUUGAACAUUUAGUGCCCAGGAGCCUCAUGCAUAUUAAGUAUCUCUUGGCCCUUGUGUCUCUUCCUUCCCACAUGUAACAUACCUGUUCUCUGUAACUAUCUAUUCUGAACGUAUCUAAAAACCAUGUCUUGCCUGUGUUAUACAAACCACAUGCAUACUCACGUUC